AAUGGCUGCAGCCAGGAGGAAGGGCCCUCAACAGAAGGGUGGCAGGCAGGCGCAGGGAGGGCAGGAGCUCCGCGUAGGCCCACUCACUCCCCUCGGGUCUGGCUCCCCCAGACACAGAUGGAGUCUCAGCCAGGGCCCCCUUUCCAAGCCCUAGGAUGCUUACGGCGGGCUGCGAGGCCAGCAGCGCCAGCCCGGUUUUACAGACGGGAAAGCGGAAGCUCAGAGAGGACCUGUGACCUGCCCAGGGCCACACAGCAGGACUGCAGGCAGGGAUUCGAGCUGAGGUGGGAAUCCAGGUGUUCAGCGCACUUCCAUGAGUCCCGCCGGGUUCAAGUGCUGGCUCUGCCCCGCGUGGCCUGUGCAGCGAGACAGGUGACAACCUCUCUGAACCUGAGUGGCUCUGCUGUAAGCUGGGGGCGACAGUAGCCCCUCCUGCGUAGGACUGCUGUGAGGAUUGAACAGGGGAUGACUGUAAGGUUUCUAGCAGGUCCCUGGAACUCAGCAUUCAUCCAAAAAGUCGCUGAGUCACAGCAUAAUAACACGAUUCACCUACCUCGGGGCCUUGGCACCUGCUGGGCCCCCGCCUGGAAACCCUUCCCCCGGAUCUUGGAUGGGAUGGCCCCUCUGCCUUAAUCUCGGUUCAAACUCACCUCAGCAAGGCCCGCCCCAGUCACCCUGUUAGCAUUGCCCUAAUUCAUGCCCUUGGAGCCCUUGCCAACAGCCAGAUGGUCCCGCGUGUCCCCAGGCUGCCUGGUUUCUUGCCUGCUGCCCACAGGACAGGAGGGCCCAGGAGGGCCCAGGAGGGCAGAGCUCGUUCAUCCUGGCCAUUUCCGUCACUGGGAGCACCGCGCCUGGCCUGGGUGGGUGCCCGAUGGGAAUGUGUUGAGUGAAAGGUAAAAUGCCCAGUCAGGCGGGAAUGCAGACAGCAGCUGGGGUGGGAAACCGCGUGGCAGUAAAACACACGCCACACAACACAGACCUUCCACGGUGAGGUGUUUACUUAUGGGAGAGAAGCACCGAUGCUCACACAAAACCCCACAAGAGUGUUCGGAGCAGCUUUAGUCACAGUCACCCCAAACUGGAAGCAGCCCGAGUGUCCUUCCGCAGGUGAAUCCAUCCGCUCGUCCACAGCCACACCUCGGGGCCCUGCUCAGUGACCCAAGGAGCUGCUGGGACGUGCAGCCACAAGCAUGAAUCCCAAGGCCAGGAAGCCUUGCUGGAAAGUCCACACACAGUGUGAUCCCACUCAUGUGACAUUCUAGAAAGUGUAAAACAACAGUGAUGGAAAAGAGAUGAGUGAAUGCUGGGGCCGGGUGUGCGAGGGGUGCUUUCACAGGGGCAUGAAGCAUGGGGGUGCACCUGUUCUCUCUUUUGACUCAGGUAGGGGUUACACAACUGAAUGUGUUUUUCAAAACGCACAGAGCUACAUGUUUAAAGGGGUGAUUUUUACUGUAUGUGACAAACAACAAUUUUAAAAACCAGUCACAGAGUCGCAGACUCUCAGAAUCAUGGAGUUGACCAGUCCUACCUGCUUGGUGAGAGGCCCUGACCACCCCGCCACUGCCUCCCUGAGAAAGACCACUUCCGCCGCAGUCUCCACCUUAGACUGAACGAGCUUUAGAACUGGCCCACAGAAGAUGAGAGGAGUGGGGGAGGAGAUUGGGGUGGGGCGGGAGACACGGUCCCGGAGGUUGUUACUUCCAUUCACUUUGUUGCGUGCGUCAGAGUUCGAGGCUGCAGUGAGCCAUGAUCACACCACUGCACUCCAACCUAGGUGACAGAGUGAGACUGCCUAAAACAAAGCAAAACAAAACAAAACAAAAACCCAAAACACCCCCAAACCAGAUAAGUAAUACAAUAAUUAAAAACAACAAUAAAGUGAAUUCCACCAUAG
rnacentral:lncRNA from 1 species